CAAGGGAUAGCUCAGUGGUAGAGUGUAUGCUUGGCAUUCAUGAGGUCCUGGGUUCAAUCCCCGGUGCCUUUG
rnacentral:tRNA from 1 species